UACGUAGGGGGCAAGCGUUGUCCGGAUUCAUUGGGCGUAAAGAGCGUGUAGGCGGCCAGGUCGGUCGGUUGUGAAAACUGGAGGCUCAACCUUCAGAGGUCGACCGAAACCAUCUGGCUAGAGUCCGGGAGAGGAGAGUGGAAUUCCUGGUGUAGCGGUGAAAUGCGCAGAUAUCAGGAAGAACACCCGUGGCGAAAGCGGCUCUCUGGAACGGUACUGACGCUGAGACGCGAAAGCGUGGGGAGCGAACAGG
rnacentral:rRNA from 1 species